rnacentral:tRNA from 1 species
GGUUGUAGCUCAAUGGUAGAGCACUUGCCUCGCAUGUGUGAGGCCCUGGGUUCGGUCCCCAGCACCA